UUAUUUUGCUGAAAUAUUGAAUUCUCGAGCCGAUUGAGGUGAGGGAGAAUAUUUCUUGAAGAUAACGCAGCGCUGUCAUGUUACCUCGAAUAAAGACUCAAGGUGACCUACUUGCAUGUGCAAUAGCACCCUACCAUAACGCCUACUGUCCAGUGUAAAUGACGCUCCACAUCAGACUGAGGUUCACGUCUUUCUCCCCGACGUCGUCUAACCCUUCUUUGGCCAUCAUGUGCACCCAAGGAGAAUCGAGAGGUUUUCAAAAUAUGUUCAUUUACUCCCUCAAAAUUAGAUCCGUGCCUGCGGUAGGCCACCCGGUCUAAUAUGGAAUUAAGGAUUCAAAAAUGGUAUAACACUUACCUACCAAAUUAUUUCUUAAAUCGGACAAAAAGGGUUACCUGUUACCCGUUUCAAUCUUGACGUCGGUUUCUGGGACACCGAAUAUAUACAAGUUUUUUAAUUUAUCGAUGUUUUUAAAUUUCAAACUGUUUAUGUAGUUAGUGAUUUUGCUCGCGCCGGUCCUGAGUAGAAUAAUUGGAUCGCUUGUAGUCAGGUUACGAUAGCUUUCACAAAGUAGAUGUUGUGGCGGUGAAUUCUAAAGCGGUCGCCAUGCAGAAAUAUCUAAGUUACAUACUGGGUGUCAUAAAAUUGAAUAUCAAGAUUUAAGAGGAGUAUUUUUCAGAUUAAGAUGAUUCACUGUAUGAACAACACCAACACUUAGUUGAUUUUCAAGCCAUAACGCUAAAUGGACGACAAGGUCAGACCUAAUUGAGAAAACUUGAAAUUUCUUACUCAUGCAGCGAACUUAUUUCCUGAUGUUCUUUAAUGAUUUCUUGUAGAUACUGAGCUUCGAAAUUAAUUAAAGAAAACUCUUGAAAGACAGACGGACAAUUUUUAUGAUUUAUUAUUUUCGAUAGAAAACAUUUUUCAAUUAUUCAAACAAAACAUUUUUAUAAUUCUUCUGAAACUUUCAUAAUCAUUCGUUCACCUAUAUGAAUUGAAUUCGAAAAAUUCGUAAUUUUGGGACAAAAACUUCACCCUAACAAGUAUUGUUUUCAAUUCAAAUUUAUAGCUUUUAAUUAAUUUUUCAAUUUUUGGAUCGAAUGUUACUUGAAAUCAUGAGCAGGGAGUUUUGCAACCUGUACAAUUAAUCGAUGUAUCACAAUAACAACCCUGUAUUUUGAAAAAAGUGUUAGAAUUAUUGGAUAUACUCAUUCAUAUGGUAAUACUUUUAGAAUUUCAUCGAAAUUGAAUGAGCCAUACCCUGUGAAGUCUCAAUUGAAGCCCCCAACUAUAAAUCAAAAAUUGUUUCGAAAUUGUAUUUAGUAGUUUAAAUUUCUCCUAAAAUCUCUCUGGAAUCACUCUGUAUAUAGAAAAACCAUUUCAAGUUUUUGUAUGGGACUAUCAGCGAACCAUACUGAAUACUCAUUCUAGUGAGGUCCAUGGGCGCCCGCAGAAAUUUUUCUCAGGGGGGGCAAAAGAUGAAAAUUAUUGAAAAUUGAUAAGGCGUCCAUGAUUGUCGUAAGCGAUAUUAGUAUUCCGUUUCUUUCUUUUUCUGUAUUUAUAUUCAUAAGUGGGGGGAGGACUGUGCAAAUUAAAAAUUAUGAAGUUUUCCACUUCAACAUUUUUUUUAAACAUCAACAACAUUGGGUGAUGUGAAAUAAUACGGUAACUCUCUUCAAAAAGAGUCACAUUCGAUGGAAGAAUUCACAAAAAAAUAAAUAUAAAAAUAU